rnacentral:lncRNA from 1 species
CUUCAUCCGCCGGACUCGGAAUGCCGCGAGACUUUACGAGGGGCCUCCGUGUGCCAAAAAUAGGCCGCGGGCAAAGCCGCGCCCAAAAAUAACCGGCCGGAGGCCGGGGCGCCAAGUUCGUCCAGCGGAAAAAGGCCACAAAAACGGGUGGGCUAUAGCCUUGGGGGGUGGGGCUGGCCCACUUCAUCCGCCGGACUCGGAAUGCCGCGAGACUUUGCGAGGGGCCUCCGUGUGCCAAAAAUAGGCCGCGGGCAAAGCCGCGUCCAAAAAUAACUGCCCGAAGGCCGGGCGCCAAGUUCGUCCAGCGGAAAAAGGCAACAAAAACGGGUGGGCUAUAGCCUUGGGGGGUGGGGCUGGCCAACUUCGUCCGCCGGACUCGGAAUGCCGCGAGACUUUGCGAGGGGCCUCCGUGUACCAAAAAUAGGCCGCGGGCAAACCCACGCCCAAAAAUAACCGCCCGAAGGACGGGGCGCCCAGUUC